rnacentral:lncRNA from 13 species
CAUUACAAGCAGUCUAAUGACAAUGAAACUGAAAAUCUAGAUGAAAUGAACAAAUUAAAUGAAAAACAAAUUAUCAAAAUAACUCAGAAAGAAAUUAAAAUUCCAAAUAGUCCUAUGUUACUUAAAGAAAUUUAAUUUAUAAUUAUCUGUUCACAUAAAAACCUCAGGUCUAGAUGGCUUUACUAGCAGUCAUAAGAUGUAGAAGAUAUUUAUGAAGAAGUAAUGACAUUUCUACAGAGAAGAACAUACUUUCCUAAUCAUUUUAUGAGUAACGCAUAAUGGCAUUUGCCUAAUAUGAUUGGGUAUGGACCCCGGCAAUGGAAAGACAAUUCCAGGGAGUUAAAGUGAAGAAAAACAACAACAAAAUAAUUCAAGUGAAGAGGUGGAGCCCAAAUAGGGCUGUGGUAUUGAGCUGACUCUAGUGUUACACUACGAAAAUGCCUGUAACUGUAUCUCUGGACCAUCCCGGAGAGGAAAGGUUGUGCAUGCUGGGCAUAGGAGCUGAAGAGAGCCCUGUGGUAUCACCAGCAAGGCAGCCCUUGGGCGGGAAGCCAGAGGGGAAGAAAAGGGACUGAAGAUGAAGCAACAUCCAGUUACAUCUGUGUGAAUUUGGUCUGAACACAUGGAAACCUGGAAGAGAGAUGUUAAAAUGGCCUGAAAAACAGGAUAAUUUGUGUUGGAUGCAAAGGUCUUUAUUUCUUUCUGCCAGCAUGAUCUAAAUAUAUCCUAAUACCUCAUGGGCUUAGUCUCUGCACUGCAGAUGUCUUUUUUCUUAUUGAGAUUAUUUCCCUAUUGUAGAUUGCUGGUGAAAUUU